AAAUACAAACACACAUUUGUAUAUUCAUGCAAAUAUAAAUGCAGGGUCCUGCAUGCUGCUGAAAGCUGAUACUGCCUGCUCCACCAAACCCCUGGCUUCCAGCUAAAUAGAUCUUGGCAGAUAUUCUCUAGAUCUGUCAGGCUUUGAAUACAGUCAGAGAUGAGUCUUUCCUGCCUGCCUGGAUCAGAGUGAGUGCAUUUAUGAAAAGUUUAGUGUGCUUCAGUCUCUCCUGUUAGCAUUGCUUGGUACAGCCAAGGUGUGCUUUGUGCCCAUGGUGAGUUUUGGGAGCAGCCCAGCUGCCUUUGCCAUUGCUAAGGAAAUUAAUUCUGCUCUUUGCAAUACAUUUGGUUUGCACCUAUAGUGGGAGGUGCCUCUGACAGCAACUUCUGCUCUUGCUCUAAUCACCUCACAUUCCCCCAUAUAACAAGAUUAGGAGCUGCUGCUGGAGGAGCAUUACUCACUCAUCAGUCAUUGCUCCAUCACCAGGCACAGCCCUGCCCUUGCUGCAGCAGUUCCUGAGAUAAGGGAAAGAACUCUGGCUCCCAUGAGUUCUUCUGGCUUCUGACUAGUAUUAAAAUCAGAGGAGACCAAAACCUACUGUUAGACUUUGCUUUAAAAAGCUUAUGAUUUGUGCAUCAAGUGAAAUAUUUUUUGAGAAGUGCGAGGCAAAAGGAGGGGAUGUUACCAAGAUUUUUAAAACUUUGAGCAUCUACUUGAGCAUCUACUGAUUUUUUUUGCUGCCAUUAUUUUGUGAAAAUAAAAGGCUUUUUAGGCAUACAAGCUAGUGUUGUUUUAAUCCCAGAAAUGAAAGCCAAAACUGGUGGAACUGUACCCGGAGAAUCAAGUUUUCUUGUUAAGACUAAGACAAGGAAAAAAACUAAUUUGGAGCAUAUCUCUUUCUCAGUUGAAACAAGUCUCUGGGAAUAGACAUCCCUGGCCAGCUGUACUCUGGCAAAUUUAGAGCUCCUUGCUCCUAUAACGUUUCUAUGAGACCUGUCUCUAAACUGAAAUAAUUCAGAUCAAUAGCUUCAAUUUUUAAAGCUUAAUAGCUGUAUCUGGAUGAAGCUUUUCAACUUGACCUCUCAUUUGCUGACUUGCGACCCAGACACAGGGUCUCUAGUGCAGCACAGACUGCAAAUUUUCACCAAAGGCACACAUCAAAUGAAUUCUCAGAAUAAAUGGUUCAUAAAAUAAGUGAUAACAGCUGCAUUGUGGUGAGUCACCCCACUGCACACUGGGGUUGAACUGCUUGUCACCUUGUGUGUGAGAGAGUUGUGAGCCCUACAAUGUGGGGAACACAUUAGUAAACUCUGGUUUUGGGGGGAUCUUCUGGUGGGAUUACCUUCUCCACCCAGAACAAUUUUUCUUUGAAUUAUUCUAAGACACUGAAGUGUUGGGCAACUCUUAAGGCAGAGGGAGUUUUCCCUUUCUGGCCAUUUGUUGCAUUCCUAGAGUGAAAUGCCAAAUGGAAAAUAAAGUGAGAUAAGAAGAAAGGAGUGCCUCAGUAUAUGUUCAAGAGAUAUGGCAGAAAAUUGAGAAUUCCAAACAUUCAUGAAAAUAAUGAUAAAAAAAUUUUAAAGUUAGGUUCCCCUACUGUCAUUAGUAUUUGCUGUUGGGUAGUUUUAUGAUGUCUAUUUCUGCUUGGAUUGUAAUAUCAAUACCGUUGAAUGAUUCAUAAUAGACUAAUUCAGUUUUUCUUUUGGAAAGGGAAAUCUUGCCACAAACCAGAUGUUGUGUCUGAUAUGAAUUUUUAAAUUGAUUACAAAAGCACACACAAAUGUGUACUUUGUCAGGCUCUUGAGAAGGGACAGGAACUGCUUAUUUUCUCAUAAGAGGGACUGUGUUGAAGAGAGCAGCAAUAAAUUGAUUAAUAAAGACCAUGAAAUUAUUCAACCUUCCUCUCCCCUCCUGCCCCCCAACAAAUCAAAGGACUUGCAGUCUUCUCUAUCACUAAGGCAUGAUUCCCAUUCCAAUCUUAUCAAAGUUCAGGUGGAGUUGUUGCUCUGGUAUGCAGCAUGGGAAGUACCACCAAGCUAAGAAUGAAGUAUGUGGUUCUAGCACUACUGGAAUUGGUUUGCUCACCUGAACCACACAACACAGAGAAUUUGGUGGUGGUGUUUCUUAGAACCACUCUGCUUCAGUGUUUCUCCAUUUCUUUGUGUAAUUUCUGGAAAGUUUAGUUCAGGUGUUUUAAUGCUUCUUGCAGAGCCAGCUGUCAAAGCUUUAAGCAUGGAAAAGAGCUGCUUCCAACUAGUGCUUUGCUGUCCAUGCAGGAUUUCAGUAUCUCACAGAGGAUUUGACUUUGUUAUUUAAACAUGGUUCAAGAGGCUUGCCAUUCUGCCUUUUUAUCAAAAUAGUAAUUUUGGAUAGGAUUGUUGAAUGGAGUAUUUGCAGGCAGAGAUAGCUAUUCUUUUUUUCUUAAAUAAUAUGGUUUAAAAGCACUUUGAUUUGGCUUAAGUCCUUUCUUCUUCAACAGUAGUUUUAUAAUACUUGAAGGCUGACAAGUUUACUACAAACAUGCUUUGAGCCCUAUUCCCUCCUUGAGUUGCUUUGAAAAAAUGGAAUCAAAUGGAUGGGUGAAGCAGCUUGGGCAGUCAUGUCUCAGGGGAUGAGAAAGGGGCACCUGAGGAGCCAGCAUGAGCUGCAGCCUGAGGCCAGCUGGAGUUACAUCACAGAGCUCACAGUCUGAAAGGGGCUGUUUGUCACAGUCUCAGUGUUGAAGAACUAACUGUUCACAUUUUAAAACAUGAAUGAAGAGGAGAGCUGCUGGUCUGAUGCCAGUGAAGUCUGAACAUCAGCACGCCAAGUUCCUACCAGAACAACUGGAAUGCCUUUGGAACAGGUGUCCUGAGAGGUUAUCUGCCAGAGGUUCUUACAUACCAGAUGUAUGCAGUUAAUCUCACAGAAAUCAAUGAAAUUGCAUGCAGAAGUGUGAGGCUAAAAGAAGUUUUUGGUCUGGUGUGCCCAGUCUGUGUCCUUGUGCCGCACUUUGUGGGCUGAUCAUCCACCCCUGCACCUCUGCUCUCCCACACACCUCUGCACUCCAGCUCCUCUGCUGCUCCACCUGGCAGUGCUCCCUGCCAUGAAAAUGGAUAACUGUCUGACACAAAGGAGAAG